rnacentral:lncRNA from 1 species
GCUGUAGAGGGUGCUGGGCAGGUUUUCCAGUGAAGUCCUUCUCUUGUCCCUGAGAAGAAAUGGAGGGGCCUCUUCACUGGCUGAUGGACAGGACAGUCAUGGCACAGGGAAGGGCAGGUGGCUCUGCUGCACUAUGUCCCCAGCAGGUGCCUCUGUUGAGGAGUUUAUGGAAUCAGAGGGCGUUGGUUGGAAGAUUUGUGUCACUGGAGAUGGGGCCCGUGAGGAUCAUACCUACUUCUGGUGCAGGCUGAGCUCUUUUCUUCCUGGCAGCUACAGGAAUGUGACUGAUGGCUACAAGAUCCUAUUGCUAUGUUCUUCCUACCUCAUGGACCACAUUCUCCAACCCAGUAGCCGGAAUAAGCCUUCGCCCUUAAGUUGCUUGUAUCAGAUAUUUUAUGCUAGCGUAUGGGGAGGUAAUGGUGC